UACGUAGGGGGCAAGCGUUGUCCGGAUUUAUUGGGCGUAAAGAGCUCGUAGGCGGCUUGGCAAGUCGGGUGUGAAAACUUCAGGCUCAACCUGGAGAUGGCACUCGAUACUGCUAUGGCUAGAGUCCGGUAGGGGACCACGGAAUUCCUGGUGUAGCGGUGAAAUGCGCAGAUAUCAGGAGGAACACCGGUGGCGAAGGCGGGUCCCUGGACAACUCCUGACGCUGAGGCACGAAAGCUAGGGGAGCAAACAGG
rnacentral:rRNA from 1 species